GAGAAAACAUCUCCAGUUCCUCCUUUAUUAGUGAAUAAGGACACACAAAAACUCAACAGAGAUGGAACAUGCAUUCCCAGGCAGUUUCAGCUCAGAUCCUCCUGACUUCGCGCCUGUUACUACAGCCGGAGGGAAACUGAUUACAGAAUCCAUCUGAUAUGUCGGAUUUCUUUGUGGCAUCCACUUCAUCGCUCAGCAGCCAGCCAUGAUGUCAUAAGCCCAUCAGAUUUCCGGCAAAAACCUGAAAAAUCCAGCCACCCAGAUGUUUUCGAAAUAUCCAGAUGUCUGGCAUCGAGCAGACCGCGUUCCCUUCUAGUCCCCUCCCGUCCCAAGAGGCGUUCGACAUUUCGGCUCUGACCUCAGGUCUCCAGCAAGUGUCCACCCUCGGGCUGAUGACCAGCGUGUGUCUGGACACCAGGCCGGCCUCUGCCCCUCAGACUCCUCCCAGGUGACAAGCAGAUGCCCCAAGCUCCCGCGGAGACAGAACAGUCCCCCCAGGUCACUGGACACGUCUCAGCUAAGGGGGCCGCGUCCACCUCGCCUCGGAGACACCGCAGCUCUUGGGGCCGCGUCCACACUGCUCAAGGCGCAGGAGACCCUCCAGAGCGCGGACCUGCACGCAGACCCCCGCGAAAGACAGCGGCUCAGCCU